GGGCGCAUGGUUUAGUGGUAUAAUACCCCCUUAGCACCUAUUCGAAUGGGGGUGGUCCUGGGUUCGAUUCCCAGUGCGUCCA